rnacentral:rRNA from 1 species
UAGGGAAUUUUCCACAAUGGACGAAAGUCUGAUGGAGCAACGCCGCGUGCAGGAUGAAUGUCUUCGGAUUGUAAACUGCUUUUAUCUGUGACGAAUAUGACGGUAGCAGAUGAAUAAGGAUCGGCUAACUCCGUGCCAGCAGCCGCGGUCAUACGGAGGAUCCAAGCGUUAUCCGGAAUUACUGGGCGUAAAGAGUUGCGUAGGUGGCAGAGUAAGUUGGUAGUGAAAGCGUUCGGCUCAACCGGAUAAACAUUACCAAAACUGCUUAGCUAGAGGAUGAGAGAGGUUAUUGGAAUUCCCAGUGUAGGAGUGAAAUCCGUAGAUAUUGGGAGGAACACCGAUGGCGUAGGCAGAUAACUGGCUCAUUCCUGACACUAAGGCACGAAAGCGUGGGGAGCAAACGGGAUUAGAUACCCCCGUAGUCC